UUUCUGUGAUGAUACCUUCAACUGUGGUUUCGUCUUGCUGACAGUUGAAUGAGGACCUUGAAUUCCUUGGCUGUGUCUGAGAAU
rnacentral:snoRNA from 1 species